rnacentral:rRNA from 1 species
AGUGAACGCUGGCGGCGUGCCUAAUACAUGCAAGUCGAACGGAGUGGCGCACGGGCGAGUAAUGUAUAGCUAAUCUGCCCUACACUAGAGGACAACAGUUGGAAACGGCUGCUAAUACUCUAUAGUGUAGGAUGAGGCUAUAUUGUAUCAGCUAGUUGGUGAGGUAAUGGCUCACCAAGGUUAUGACGCAUAACUGGUCUGAGAGGAUGAUCAGUAACACUGGAACUGAGACACGGUCCAGACUCCUACGGGAGGGAGCAGUAGGGAAUUAUGCUCAAUGGGGGAAACGCUGAAGCAGCAACGCGGCGUGGAGGAUGACACUUUUCGGAGCGUAAACUCCUUUUGUUAGGGAAGCGGUACCUGAAGAAUAAGCACCGGCUAACUACGUGCCAGCCGCCGCGGUAAUUC